rnacentral:miRNA from 1 species
UGGAUCUACUGUGAAGGACUGAG